rnacentral:rRNA from 1 species
UGGGGAAUAUUGGACAAUGGGGGGAACCCUGAUCCAGCCAUGCCGCGUGUGUGAAGAAGGCCUUAUGGUUGUAAAGCACUUUAAGCGAGGAGGAGGGUACUGGUAUUAAUACUACCAGGUACUGGACGUUACUCGCAGAAUAAGCACCGGCUAACUCUGUGCCAGCAGCCGCGGUAAUACAGAGGGUGCGAGCGUUAAUCGGAUUUACUGGGCGUAAAGCGUGCGUAGGCGGCUAAUUGAGUCGGAUGUGAAAUCCCCGAGCUUAACUUGGGAAUUGCAUUCGAUACUGGUUAGCUAGAGUGUGGGAGAGGAUGGUAGAAUUCCAGGUGUAGCGGUGAAAUGCGUAGCGAUCUGGGGGAAUACCGAUGGCGAAGGCAGCCAUCUGGCCUAACACUGACGCUGAGGUACGAAAGCAUGGGGAGCAAACAGG